rnacentral:lncRNA from 1 species
UCUAAGGUCCAAAAGAUAGGGAUUUUCAAGGCUUAUCUUAUGGUUGCUUGAUGGGCAAGUAACUAGAUAGGGAUAAGGACUGAAACCCUAAUCCUAACCCUAUAUAAAGACCCCAAGGCUCAUGAAUUCGUCUAAGCCUUCCCAAGGGGUCCUAGAAAUGAAUUCAAUACCUCCCCUCUCUCCUUAUACCUUCUCCACUUGCUUAUGGUGUUUGUAAGCCAUUAGAGGAGUGACACUUGUGACUCUAAGCCUUCCGAAGUCAAUUCAAGGAGGAUUUGGGAUUGUUAUUGCUACAUAACAAUCAAGGUAAUAUCUUAAACCUAAUAUUGAUUCCCAUAUGCUAGAAUUAGGGUUUAUAGUCUUGGAUUCAAAGCAUGUACAAUAGAGAAACCUAGAUCCAAGCAUUAGGGUUUGUAUGAGCACAUAGGAUGUCUUAUGACCAAAACCCAUCAGUGGUAUCAGAGCCUAGAUUGGUUUCAAUUGUAUUGAUGCAUUACAUGUUCAAAAAAUUCGAUUUUUGAUGUUCUGGAGGCUGGACUCGCCGAGUCCAUAGCUGAACUCACCGAGUCCAUGCAGACUUGACGAGUCCAAGCCUGACUCGACGAGUCAACUCGUCAGAUGGAGGGUAUUUCGCGAUUUCUUGCUGUUUUUGCUUAUGGAUAGUUACCUUAUCAUAUUAGAUCAAUAUAAAUCCGAUUUUUUGAUAUAUAUGAUUAUAUUUUUGAUCUAACUGAAGAUAUUUAUCAAUUAAUAAGAUAAUUGUUUCCUUAUAAGAUAAUUGAUUAAUUAUUUUGAGUAAAUUGAUAAAUUGUUUUGCAAGAAAUCAUUAAAUAAAUCAAAUAUGGAUAAUUAUGUGAUUAAAUGUUAAUUUGAAUUAUUUGUUAUUUGAUCCUUGUUGUUAUGAAAAGUUUCAUAUUUUCCCCUUUAGGUUUUAUAGUUUAAAUUUGAACCCAAAAGUUUUGUUGUUUUGAAAUUUAAAUAGUUAAAACCCUAAUGUUUUGAAAAAGGUUUCAAAACUUGCCCUCAAGUUUUGGAAUUUAAAUUUUGAUUAAAUGGUUUAAUUUUGAUGUAUAUUUAAAUUCUAAACCCUAAUGUGUUGAAAUGUUUCAAAACUUGCCCUCAAGUUUUGGAAUUUAAAAGUUGAUUAAAAGUUUAAUUAGGAAUGUUAAAUUCUAAAACUCUAGUAUAGUUUUGAAAAAGUUCAAAUCACACCCUUAUGGUUUUAUUAAUUAAUUAAGGUGUAUAAUUAAAAGAGGUUUAAUAAAUCCAUAAAAGUUUAGGUUUACAAUUUAAUUGAAUUAAAAGUAUAAUUGUUAAAUUAGACCACCUAGUAUUUUAAAAGUAUAAAAUACACCCUAUACUAUAUAUAACAUUAAAAGUCUAACAUUAUAUAUAUGUAUGAGUAAAAGUCAGUCUUACCGUUAGUAGGCCUCAUUCACGAAGCUGGUCUAUAAGGGGUGUUUAAGGAAAUUGCCUAUAAAAUGGCGAUUGAAUGGGUAUCCACUCUUACCCACCGCACUCUUGACUAGUGGAGGGUCGUUAGCCGAACGGGUAGGAUAGGACGAAACCUUCCAUUAUAAGUAUAAUGAAUUAUUAAAGUAACUAAAUGUUUUCAUAAAAUUCCCAAUCUUAGUUACUUAGGCAAAAGUGAAUUGAUGCAAUUCCAUGAAAUUACACUUUGUGCCCUUGCGAAGACGUUAGUGGAGCGUGUGUGGUUUACCGGCACACUAAAUGGUUCUAAGCAAAGGUAGCAAAGGGUGACUCAAUGUUUGUCAUAGUUCGGUGGAGCGUGUGUGGUUUACCGGCACAUCGAAUAGGUGACUGUAACAUGUGAGGGCACCAUGUAAGUUUGCAUGGUUAUUCACACCCGCUUUGUGAUCCUCGGCAUCCCAGUCACAAACAAGAGGGGCAUAUCGAGAUUUAAACAUGCCAUUGAAAGUUCAAUGAAUCUCAAAGGAUCUAGGAGUUUUCAUAGAUUUAAAACUUAAAUUUCUUUUUCGUUUUUCAUGGUGGAAAUUAGUGAAUCGUCAUUCACUUACCUUCAAAUAUUCUGCAAUUAGGGUUACGGCAUCCCUCUCCCGAGUUGUAGAAUAUUGUGUUGGGUCCUAGCCUUAGUAUCUCAUUUGGGUGAUUUACUAAGGACUCAAUCAAUCAACUAACUUGAAUUCGUUUUCUCCCGUUUUGUAGAUGUCAAAGUUCGACAACUAUGGUCUUCCCAAAUCCCGUGGAACAAGCAUUCCACAUGAAGAUGAUAUUCCACGAUUCGAUCGAGGAACAAGAAAUCAUGCUUCACUUCCUCCUCCUCCUCCAAUUAUUCUCCCUAACCCACAAGUUCAAAGGCUUGAAAAGUUCAAGAUCACUCAAGCCCUUUUGGCAAGUAAACAUAAAGAAGGAAAGUCGGUGUGUGCACACGUCCUAGGGAUGAAGUCACACAUUGAUAGGUUAAGAAUGUUGGGAUCCGUUGUCUGUGAGGAAAUGGCUGUUGAUUGGGUUCUUCAGUCACUUCCUAACUCAUAUAGUGAGUUCGUAAGAGAGUACUAUAUGAUGAACCGCGACGUGACCCUUAUAGAUCUCACCUAUAUGCUUAUUGCUGCUGAAUCAGCAAUGGUUUGGCGCAAUAGAAAAGCAAAGUUGAUUGGUGAAUCUGCCUUCAAGACCUCUAUGGAUAUAGACAAUGGCAACGAAAGACAUGCUAUGAUCGAAAAGUUUGAUCAUAAGAGAAAGGCAAUGUCUGAAGUAGUUCCAUGUCAUGUUCCAAAAGAGUCAAUUUGCUUUUAUUGCCAAGAGAAAGGGCAUUGGAGACGAAGCUGCCCCAUUUACCUAAGAGAUCUAAGAGAUGGGAGAGUCGAAACGUAUGGCUCUAAUAUAGGUAAAAUCCAUUAACUAACUCUUUUAAGCUUCUAUUCUAGAUUCUUAAUACAUAAUGUGAUAAGAUUACAAUUGAUGUUUUGUAGGAUCGAAGAAAAGAAAGGAAGCUUAAGGGAAGAAGUGAGCAGAAUCUAACCGUGAAGGAAUGGAUUUCGAUCGCAUUUCUCGAAGAUUAGAUUCUUGAGCUACUACUUAGAGUUAGAAUUAGAUUGCUAAGAAAGAUGUAUUAGCAUAGUUUUUCAAUGAAUUGCAUUGUAAGGACAAAUUUUUUCCGCAAUAAAAUAAAUUUUGAUUUUAUAUUAUUUAUUUAUCCUUGCAAUGGCGUAUAUGAAAAAUUGAUGUUUGAAUGUUUCUAUUAUUAGCAAUAAUGGAUUUGGUUCUUAUUAUGUUAUUUAUGGAAAGUCGAGAAUUUACCAAAUAGGGAGAGUUUCUCAUCGCCCAAGUUUCAAUUGGACAGAAACUUGGAAUCAUGCAACUUGGUUGCACGAUGAAUGAGAAAUUUCAUAUUUGGAAAUUAGACUAAUUCAUUGACAAAGUGUCAAGUGAAGGACUAGGAGAUCGAGUACACAAAGUUGCGUGUUGAUCAAGUCCACCAUAAGAGUAACAAAGAUAUUCGUCAUGAUUUACUAAAGGUUUAGUAAAUAUGAUUAUACUUACAAGAUUAAGUGUAAUUCUGAAUUGAUUGAAAAAGUUUAAAUCAAUAGCAGAACGAAUAAGAAGAAUCAAGUAGGCAGAAAGAUAAAAGUUUCUCCAUUCUAAGAAGAAGGGAGAGUACCUUUUAUGCUUUAUGAUAGGUCUUAAUGAUUAAGAACCAUAUCUCAAUUGAUCCUCUAAGUGAGUCUUAGUACAAUUGUAUGUCUAAGAAGAGGAAUCAAGAAUUGAAGAAAUGGUUAAAUCAAGAAGUCAAUCAUACUUCGUUCCAAAACAAGUCUUAGAGUUAAGAUUGUGACAUUGAGUGAUAAGUAUUAAGAAGGUUUAUAACAUUCAUCAAAUGUGGAAAGUUGUGAUGUCUUGGAUAAGACAAAGACCAACUAGGACCAAUUUAUGAAGUGUUUUGAUAAAAACUACACUAACUCUUGAAUAUUUGUUUGUCAAGAAAUGUUUAUUGACAAGAGAAUCUUAUAUGUCAAGGAGUCAGUGGGAGUCUUAAUGGUCUUGAAAGGUUUCAAGAACAAAUCAAAAUAAACCUUAUCGAUCAUCACUAGCACACGAGUUGAGGUUUACAACCUAUCGUGUUGACAUUAUUUUGUUUCUGUGCCAAUCCAAUCGAGUUAAUUAUGCAUGUGAGUUCUAUGAGUUCUCAUUUUGAACGCAUAAAAGGCAAAGCACCUUAAUCAAUGAAAGGUACAUUGAUAGGAAAGGGUGAGCUGCUUAACUACUUGGAAGACAUGGUGGGCAGCUGUGCUACCAUAAGGCAAGAAAUCAAGAUUAAGAAAGUUCGGUCCAUAUGAGUUUGAAUUUGUCGUAAACUUUGGUUUUAACAAAUUCACAUGGAUAGGAACACAUACACCGUUUAAAUCUAAGUGUCAUAAGAUUUCCUCCUUCAUGAAAAUGAUUGUGAGGAAAUGCUUUCACUAAGAAAGAUUUUAAGAAGAUAGUGAUUGUAAAAUUGCAUUCUCGAAUUCGAUUAUGGUUACGGUAUCCCUUUCCAUAAUUUGAAUUGUGAGGUUUGGCAAUUAGUCUUAAUUGUUUAGACACACAUAUGAACUAUCGAAGGCAAAGGUGUAUAAGUUCAAGAAGCCUUGAUAAAAGAUUAUCAAAGCACUAAGUAUUAGAAACAUGAACUUAAGAAAUUCAAUAAGUAUUGUUUUUCUGAAAGUUAAGAUGUUUAUGAAUACAUGUCGAAGCUAGUGGGAGCAUAAGUGUUAUGUUUUAUAAUAAUCAUCAUGAUAGUGGGAGCAUAAAUGUUAUGAUUGUAUGAUUAUUAAGGCACGUAUUGCAAGUUGGCAAUAUUAAUUAUAGAAAACAAGAGUUAUACCUUGCAAAGUCGUAAGGGUUGUAAAGUUGUUUUGCUAUAAUUAAGGGAGAGAAUAUUAUGCUUCAUUUCAAAUCUAAAGGAUUAGGUUGAGAAAUGUUAAUAAAUUUAGUCAAGGGUACAUAGUGUGUUCUUAAAAUUUCGAUUAUGAUUACGGCAUUCCUCUUCACAAUUCGAAUUUUGAGAACAUAGCAAAUAAAACAUUAUGCGUCGUGUCCCAUACGCUUCGGGUAUAGGAUCGAUUGCAAAUGCUUUAAUGUUUGACCAUUCUAAAAUUUUCCAAAUGUCGAGCGCAUUUAGAGGGAAAAGGGACUAGAAUUGGUUUUGACUAAAAUAAUUAAACAACUAUCAAAGGACAAUCCAAAGUUCGACGAGGAUUGGUCGCUUGUGAGUAGUUGGAAGUAUGGUAUUGGAAAAUAUGGAAAUGUUUCCAUAUUGGAUGGACCAUAUCGACAUCAUUACGAAUAGAUAAGAUUCUAUUAAGAAUGAGUUGUCAUAUGGAACAUAUGGAAGUGUGUCCAUAUUGGGAAUUGAAUAUUGAGAAAUCUAUGACUAGAUUAGAAACUUCUAUGCAAAAGGAUGUUCAAAGAAUGUACUUUGAGUGAGAGACAUCACGUCUAUGGAAUUGUCUUGUAACAAUCUCCGAUAGAGGACUUUGUAAUAUCAUUGGCAAUAGUCUUUGUGACUUUGGUGCAGUGACAUUACGAAAGGAUAGUUGCAUAGAAUGUUAGAAUCUAGCAUAUUCUAUAAGUAGCAAGAAUUUGAUAUUCUUUCACUUAUGAAAAAGGGAUUUGGAGUUGUGAAAUGAGAAGGAUUGGAAAUGUGUUCAAUGUGAUCUAUUUCACAAAGUAAGAACCAUAGGUAAACAUUGUGUGCAUGCUAGGAGCAUGGGACAAGUGUUGGAAUUCAAGUAAGAAGUUGAUUACCCGAAACGACAAAUAAUGAGUAAUCAAUAUGGUGAUAAAUAAAAGGUGUUUUAUUUAUACUCAAAGGUUUGAGGCCAUAUGGGAUUAGUAUUAUUCUUGUGUUUCACAUUUGCAUGUUUUGACUUCCAGAAUAAUUGAGUUUAUUAAGAAUAAUCGAAUUAUUCAAACGGGCCACAGUCGUUCAUAUGUUGGAAGUAGAUAUGAAUGAAGACUGUCGUGAAUUGGUGUGUGGAUUGUCUAAAAGAGUAUUAGACAUAAGCAAAUGUUUGCUGCAACGUUCAUGAGUGCUUAUGAAUAUGAUUUGAGCAUUGGAUUAAACCCACGCUCACUUGGAUCACUCCAUGAAUUGUAUCACGAGUGAUUGGUGAGACGAUAACAUCUUAUAUUCUUGAAACCGAGAUGUGUGAGUUGUAUCUUGCAAAUCGGUUGCACAUUGAUAAUAUGUAAACGCACUAGUAACUUGGUGUUAUAAAACAUAUUGUUGUGUGUGAUUCGGUGAGUGAGUGCAAGCAAGCAUUGUAUCAAAGUUUAUCCGUUCCUUUUAUCCAAAGUAGGAUAAAAGCGAUAUCUUUGGGCCCCUCGAUGGUUUAGUGAUGACAAACGUAAAUGCUCGGCCGGGCUAGGGCUAAUUUGAUUUGUUCAAUUAGUCAGUCGUCAUAAAUCGGGAAUCGAGAUAUAGUACAAAGAGAAUGAUUUGAAAUCAUAUCUCAUAUGAUAUCUAGAAUGGAGGAAUAUAUGAUCCCUUAUCUAAGGACACGCGUAUCUGAUAGGAUCAGAGUUGACAGUGGCUUUGGAAAGCUACGAUUGCAGAUCAGGAUCUGAAGUCAUACGCAGAAUAGUUAUUAGACUUAUCCAAGUGGGAGACUGUUGGAUUAGUGUCUAAGUCCAUAACUAUUUUGGUAUGUACUUGACCCGAUGGUGCAUGGUCCUUUUGGGUUGCCUUCACCAAAGCAACUUGAUUGGAGAAAUAAAUAAAGAGAGAGGUUAUUAUGAUUUAUUAAGAUGUUAUAAGAAUAAUAUAUUGAAGGAGAAAUCAUAUUUGUUUAAUUAAUAUUGGUCAAUAAUUAAUUAAGAAUUAAUUUUGUGAUCAAGUGUAAUUAAUUAAACUAGAGGGGCUGAAUUGUAAUUAUGUGAUAGUUACAAAAUAGGGCAAUGGUUAUCCUUGUUAAAGGAUGGACGAAUACAAGGAUAAGGAUAUCCUUAAAAUCGUCCAAGGUCCAAAAGAUAGGGAUUUUCAAGGCUUAUCUUAUGGUUGCUUGAUGGGCAAGUAACUAGAUAGGGAUAAGGACUGAAACCCUAAUCCUAACCCUAUAUAAAGACCCCAAGGCUCAUGAAUUUGUCUAAGCCUUCCCAAGAGGUCCUAGAAACGAAUUCAAUACCUACCCUCUCUCCUUAUACCUUCUCCACUUGCUUAUGGUUUUUUUAAGCCAUUAGAGGAGUGACACUUGUGACUCUAAGCCUUCCAAAGUCAAUUCAAGCAGGAUUUGGGAUUGUUAUUGCUACAUAACAAUCAAGGUAAUAUCUUAAACCUAAUAUUGAUUCCCAUAUGCUAGAAUUAGGGUUUAUAGUCUUGGAUUCAAAGCAUGUACAAUAGAGAAACCUAGAUCCAAGCAUUAGGGUUUGUAUUAGCACAUAGGAUGUCUUAUGACCAAAACCCAUCAGAUAUGUCCUUGAUGGAGAUCGGAAAGAUAGUUGCUUUUAGGAAGCUACCUUGGAAAGG